GACGAACGCUGGCGGCGCGCCUAACACAUGCAAGUCGAACGAGCGAGAGAGAGCUUGCUUUCUUGAGCGAGUGGCGAACGGGUGAGUAACGCGUGAGGAACCUGCCUCAAAGAGGGGAACAACAGUUGGAAACGACUGCUAAUACCGCAUAAGCCCACGACCCGGCAUCGGGUAGAGGGAAAAGGAGCAAUCCGCUUUGAGAUGGCCUCGCGUCCGAUUAGCUAGUUGGUGAGGUAACGGCCCACCAAGGCGACGAUCGGUAGCCGGACUGAGAGGUUGAACGGCCACAUUGGGACUGAGACACGGCCCAGACUCCUACGGGAGGCAGCAGUGGGGAAUAUUGCACAAUGGGGGAAACCCUGAUGCAGCGACGCCGCGUGGAGGAAGAAGGUCUUCGGAUUGUAAACUCCUGUUGUUGAGGAAGAUAAUGACGGUACUCAACAAGGAAGUGACGGCUAACUACGUGCCAGCAGCCGCGGUAAAACGUAGGUCACAAGCGUUGUCCGGAAUUACUGGGUGUAAAGGGAGCGCAGGCGGGAAGACAAGUUGGAAGUGAAAUCCAUGGGCUCAACCCAUGAACUGCUUUCAAAACUGUUUUUCUUGAGUAGUGCAGAGGUAGGCGGAAUUCCCGGUGUAGCGGUGGAAUGCGUAGAUAUCGGGAGGAACACCAGUGGCGAAGGCGGCCUACUGGGCACCAACUGACGCUGAGGCUCGAAAGUGUGGGUAGCAAACAGGAUUAGAUACCCUGGUAGUCCACACUGUAAAC
rnacentral:rRNA from 1 species